rnacentral:lncRNA from 1 species
AUGGGCUUGAUAAAGGACAGAAAUGGCAUGGACCUAACAGAAGAUAUUAAGAAGAGGUGGCAAGAAUACACAGAAGAACUGUACAAAAACGAUCUUCAAGACCAAGAUAAUCAUGAUGGUGUGAUCACACACCUAGAGCCAGACAUCCUGGAAUGUGAAGUCAAGUGGGCCUUAGAAAGCAUCACUACGAACAAAACUAGUGGAGGUGAUGGAAUUCCAGUUGAGCUGUUUCAAAUCCUGAAAGAUGAUGCUGUGAAAGUGCUGCAUUCAGUAUGUCAGCAAAUUUGGAAAACUCAGCAGUGGCCACAGGACUGGAAAAGGUCAGUUUUCAUUCCAAUUCCAAAGAAAGGCAAUGCCAAAGAAUGCUCAAACUACCACACAAUUGCACUCAUCUCACAUACUAGUAAAGUAAUGCUCAAAAUUCUCCAAACCAGACUUCAGCAAUACGUGAACCAUGAACUUCCAGAUGUUCAAGCUGGUUUUAGAAAAGGCAGAGGAACCAGAGAUCAAAAUGCCAACAUUCGCUGGAUCAUGAAACAAGCAAGGGAGUUCCAGAAAAACAUCUAUUUCUGCUUUAUUGACUAUGCCAAAACCUUUGACUGUGUGGAUCACAAGAAACUGUGGAAAACUCUGAAAGAGAUGGGAAUACCAGACCACCUGACCUGCCUCUUGAGAAACUUAUAUGCAGGUCAGGAAGCAACAGUUAGAACUGGACAUGGAACAACAGACUGGUUCCAAAUAGGAAAAGGAGCACGUCAAGGCUGUAUAUUGUCACCUUGUUUAUUUAACUUCUAUGCAGAUUACAUCAUGAGAAACGCUGGGCUGGAUGAAACACAAGCUGAAGUCAAGAUUGCCGGGAGAAAUAUCAAUAACCUCAGAUAUGCAGAUGACACCACCAUUAUGGCAGAAAGUGAAGAGGAACUCAAAAGCCUCUUGAUGAAAGUGAAAGAGGAGAGUGAAAAAGUUGGCUUAAAGCUCAACAUUCAGAAAACGAAGAUCAUGGCAUCCGGUCCCAUCACUUCAUGGGAAAUAGUUGGGGAAACAGUGGAAACAGUGUCAGACUUUAUCUUUUUGGGCUCUAAAAUCACUGCAGAUGGUGACUGCAGUCAUGAAAUUAAAAGACGCUUACUCCUUGGAAGGAAAGUUAUGACCAACCUAGAUAGCAUAUUGAAAAGCAGAGACAUUACUUUGCCAUCAAAGGUCCAUCUAGUCAGGGCUAUGGUUUUUCCAGUGGUCAUAUAUGGAUGUGAGAGUUGGACUAUGAAGAAAGCUGAGCGCCAAAGAAUUGGUGCUUUUGAACUGUGGUGUUGGAGAAGCCUCUUGAGAGUCCCUUGGACUGCAAGGAGAUCCAACCGGUCCAUUCUGAAGGAGAUCAACCCUGGGAUUUCUUUGGAAGGAAUGAUGCUGAAGGUGAAACUCCAGUACUUUGGCCACCUCAUGUGA